ensembl:lncRNA
GUAUCUUUUAUAUCUGUUGGAAGGGCUGGAGAAAGAAUAUUUAUUAGUGCUAGACCUGUGGGCAGUCUUUUUGUAACCAGUUGCUAGUACUCUUUGUGUGCAGCUUGGGCAGCAUGAAUAGAGCCUUUGCCAGCGAAGACUGAAGCAAAGAAGCCAUUGAGCACCUUGGCUUUCUCCAUAUCCCUUGUGACCAGGUAUUCAGUUUCCUCCCAGAGAGGGACCCACAUCUUCCCUGACCUUUAAUCACUAAUUAAACCUGUAAUAUUUCUUCUUGUUCCCCUUUAUGUACCUGGCUAGAUUUCAUUCUAUCUAGGUUUUAGCUUUCCUAACAUGAUCCCUAGCUGCUCAGACGACUGUUCUGUAGUCCUCCCAAGUAACCUGCUCCUGCUUCCACUCCCCUGUAGUCCUCCCAGGCAACCUGCUCCUGCUUCCACUCCCUAUAUACUUUAUUUUUCUACUUAAGGAAGUCCAGGAACUCCUAGUUGAUUCAUGAAGGCCUCCUGGCACUCUUGCCUGCCUGCCUGCCUUUUUCUCAGGGUGCAAUGCUUCUGGGCUUGGAGGAGAUGGUCCUUGAAUACUGACCAGCUUUCUUAGGUCCCUCUUCCCUCCAGGGCUUUAUCCCAUGUCACCCUGCCAAGUAGUUCCCUGAAGAGUUCGAAGUCUGUGCUUCUGAAGUCCAGAGUAGCAAGCUUGCUGCACACCCUCUUUGAUGCCGUAAGGAUCUUGAACAACACUGUUUCGUGGUCACUGCAGCCAAAGCUGCCCUUGAGCUUUGCAUUACUCACCAGUCCCUCCUCAUUAGUGAGAACAAGGUCCAGCAUAGCAUUUUUCUCAUGGGUUCAUGUACCACUUGGAAGAGAAAGUUAUCAUCAAUGCAUUCCGGGAACAUCUUCAAUUUCUGGUGCUCUGCUGUGUUGUCCCUCCAACAAGUAUUGGGAUGGCUGAAAUCCCCCAUGAGGACCAUGUUUUGUGAACAUGAAGCUGCUUCUAUCUGUAGAGGGCCUCAUCUGCUUGGUUUUCCAGACCAGGUGGUUGGCCUGUAGCAGACUCCCACUACAGUGUCUCCUUCCCCUGCGUCUUUUAACCCUAACCCAUAAGCUCUCUGUCAGCUCCUCAUCUAUCCCCAGGUGGAGGGUAGACACUAUGCCUCCAAUAGAGCUAUAAAUAUUAAGGAGGUUCUGAAAGAACUGGUUUUCUGUUUUCAAGUCCAUUCUAAACAUGCUACUCAUAGGUAUCACUGGUAAUAUGAGUAUAGUAAAUAUGCUGCUUACAAAACUAGUCAUGUUUUAAAUUUUUCUUGAAAUACUAUCUGCUAGUGCUGGAAAUAGAUUGCUUGCAUAAACAGAUUAAUUAGAAUUUCAGUCUUCCCAACUGGUGUUGGGCGGUGAUCCUCCAAUCAACUUUGUAAACCUGAUGCCCACAUGUUGCGUUGCUUACUGCCCUGCCUACUGCCAAGCAGCAGGGUGGUAUUACUGUGCCUAACUGGAUGUCAGUCAGUAUCUGCCUACCUAGAAGAGCUCCUCUCAGAGCUAAUUUGCUAGCCUGGUGGGUGAUAAAGAUUAAAGCCUCCCUGAUCACCUCAGGGGAGUUUCACUAGGAGCUGAUCCAGAAGUUUUUAAGUUCUGGGCCACGUAUCUGGAUUCCUCUGUAAGGAGGUAGCACAGAUUUCAGGAUUUACAGCAACACACGAUUAAUUUCAAUGCUGUAAGUCGGAUGUGGGCAACCAUUAUAGCUUGUUUAGAUCUGCAGCAUUUGGCAGUCAAACUUUGUCAAACUUGGCAAACAACACUUCGUAAAGUAAAUUCCUAUUGUAAGCAUGUUCACUUGAGUACCUCUGAAAGGCCAGUAUUUCUGGCUAAUUUUUUUGGUUCGUAUUGCAGGUGCAUGAAGAGGCAUGUGCUAUUUUUCUAUAAGGACUCAGUUAACUGGAGUCAUGAGUUGCUUCAUGAUACAGCUGUUUUUCAGCUGGUGGCAUCUUUAAGGUCAGAUGUUCCCAGCAAGCCUGGCAUCAGCCUGGCCUCUUGCAUCCAUUAUUGUGCCCCAUAUACUAGAGUUCAGAAGACUUCUCAAACAUAGAAUCACAGAAUCAUUAAGGCUGGAAAACAUCACCAAGUUUGUCUGCUAAUGGGAUGAGAACUGUGUAGCUUUGUUUACCAAUGAGGCUCUUAAUUUAUGCCUGUGAUGGCAUUCCUUCCAUGCUGUUUUUACUAAAUCUCUCUGGAUCUCACAGUUGAAUAAACUGUUUUAUUCCAAGCCUGCACAAGAGGAAGCAGUCUGAACACUGCAAAAAUACUUUUUCUGUUGAUUUGAUAGCAUUCCAAGUAUCGUUGGUUUUAUGCUGUUGUUGAAUUUACAGUUUGUGCAGCAUGGCCUAACAUGGUUUGUCUUCUGUUGUUUAUUACUGUGUUUCUUUGAUACUGGUAUUGGGUAGUUGACCCUAUCACCACAUCUGAGGUAAGGGACAAGGCCUCAUUCAUUCAACUCAAAACAGAAGGAAGUUUACCUACAAGAUUUGUGCAUUAUUGAGGCGCUUUCUGUCAAAUACCUAUUAACGAGAUCUGCUCCAGCUUCUGUAAUUUGCUAGCCUGCUCUGUAUUUGAUAUGGAGCUGGAGUGGCAAGAGUAUAUUUGAGUGUAGGCAAAACAUGAAGGCAUUUUCCAUUCCUGUUGGUGAGUUAAUAUCGCUAGGUGUUUUUCAUGAGCAUGGUUUCUGUGUUCUUGGGCAUGCCCACAGUAUGGGGGCUGUAGUUAGGGAGAUGUCCACCUGUAAUGGAACUGGUUUUCGUUGAGGAGCCCUCUCCUUGUUCUCCUCUUCUGCAGAGGAACAGCUGCUCGGUGGCUAGGGGAGCUGAGGAAAACUUGUGUGUGUGUUUCCUUUCAGCUGGCAUCACUGUAAGACAGGUUAUGAAAAGGGACGUACUGUAAAUACAUAUACAGUGUCAUUCUACAACGAUUUAAUGAUGGAAACUUGUAUGCAAGCUUUUAUUUUUAAAAGUAAUUUACUGCUCCUAUCUCUUCUGUUACACCAGAAUAGCUGUCAUUUCACCUGGUGCUCCUGAGAUCAGCAGUGCUAAUGCUCUAUUGUAAUAUUGUCCUGAGUAUCCAUGGUGAUGACGAAAUUUAACCUCUGUCUGUAGCCAGUGCUGCCCUGGAGGAGUUUGUGACAUCCUUUAAGUUGCACUGGUGUCAUACUGUGGCUUUGGUAGAACAGCUUUCUGAUGUCAGGAAACCAGGCUCCUCCAAGUUCAUGGACAUUCCAGCAGCAAAACUCGGAGUUCUAUGAGCUCUGAGAUGGUGGUGGUGAGGAAAAUAAGUGUAGAGGUCUAAGAGGGAAAAUAAAUGUAUGCUAGGUAGUUGCAAUGACCCAUGCACUCAAAAAUUCAGUUUCUUCCUUCCUCUUUAAAAAGAACAGCAGAAUCAUUCUCUUAAAGAACUGAAAAUAAUUACAAAUUGUGGUAAUACUAAUGAUAGGUGUAAUACAGAAGAAACCCACUAUUUCAUAUCACUUGAUAGGAAACCUAACUUGCCAUUUUAAUAUUUCACUACUUAGUUAUACCACCUCAUUGUACUAUAAUGCUUUCUGAUUUGUUUGGCCAUUAGAUAAAUAAUGUGACUUCAUUUAAAUUACCAAAAUGUGAAGAAGUGUUAAACCGUGUUCUCCACUCUGAAGAGUAAUGGAAGAAGGCUGCUGUAUUAUCUCUGGAUUAAAUACAUUAUUUCAGCACUAUAAAGAUAAACCUUGUGUCUUGGACAGUAGUUACCAAGUAGGCAUUCUUUAACACCUGGAACAUCUGGAUCAUGUUGACUUUUUUUACCAUGGCAAAAAGGGUGAAUGAAAUACAAUUCCUGCUUUCUGAGUUCAUAAGCAUUUCUUCAGUCUCAUGGCAGCUGGAGAUCCCAAUCCAUAAGUAUAUAUAUACGUAUGUUACAGAUAUUAUGUGUUUUUUAAAAAGAAUUGACAGAGCUUACUCUAAAGUGACUUCUGUGUCAAAUUGAGUAGAUGAACGAAUUAUUUUCAUGUUCAGACUUCUUUGUUAGUGAUUAUUUUAAGCAAAAUAGAAAAUGUUGAUGUUCUAAUGGGAUAUAUUUGUAUCAGAAUAAAUAAAUAAUUGGCAAUUACU